AUUCCGCCUUGGUGACUCUGGAUAACUUUGCGGAUCGCACGGUCUAGCACCGGCGACGGAUCAUUCAAGUGUCUGCCCUAUCAACUUUCGUCGGUACGGUAUUUGCCUACCGAGGUUCUUACGGGUGACGGGGAAUCAGGGUUCGAUUCCGGAGAGGGAGCCUGAGAAACGGCUACCACAUCCAAGGAAGGCAGCAGGCGCGCAAAUUACCCAUUCCCGACGCGGGGAGGUAGUGACGAAAAAUAACAAUGCAGGACUCGUUCGAGGCCCUGUAAUUGGAAUGAGUACACUUUAAAAGCUUUAACGAGUAUCCAUUGGAGGGCAAGUCUGGUGCCAGCAGCCGCGGUAAUUCCAGCUCCAAAAGUAUAUAUUUAAGUUGUUGCGGUUAAAAAGCUCGUAGUUGGAUUUUGGGCGCAGGCGGCCGGUCCGUCGCAAGGCGUGUACUGGACGUCCUGGCCUUCCCUCCGGUUCUCCGCCGGUGCUCUUGACUGAGUGUCGGCGGCGGCCGGAACGUUUACUUUGAAAAAAUUAGAGUGUUCAAAGCAGGCUCUCGAGCCUGGAUAAUGGUGCAUGGAAUAAUGGAAUAGGACCUCGGUUCUAUUUUGUUGGUUUUCGGAGCGCGAGGUAAUGAUUAAGAGGGACAGACGGGGGCAUUCGUACUGUGCCGUUAGAGGUGAAAUUCUUGGAUCGGCGCAAGACAAACGACUGCGAAAGCAUUUGCCAAG
rnacentral:ncRNA from 1 species